rnacentral:rRNA from 1 species
CAGUAGCCGCGGUAAUACGUAGGUGGCGAGCGUUGUCCGGAAUCAUUGGGCGUAAAGGGAGCGCAGGCGGGCAUGUAAGUCUUUCUUAAAAGUUCGGGGCUCAACCCCGUGAUGGGAAAGAAACUACAUGUCUUGAGUACAGGAGAGGAAAGCGGAAUCCCCAGUGUAGCGGUGAAAUGCGUAGAUAUUGGGAGGAACACCAGUGGCGAAGGCGGCUUUCUGGACUGCAACUGACGCUGAGGCUCGAAAGCCAGGGGAGCGAACGGGAUUAGAUACCCGCGUAGUCCCUGUCUCUUAUACA